AUUUCGUUUCGAACGCGAGAACCGUGCGGACGUGUGCGGUUGAAACAGAAACCGAAACAGCGGCCACCGAAAAAUUCGAAGAGACCACUAAGAAAUAGAAACAAUUAAUGUGAAGCCCCCGCCCCGACCCCUCUGCAAUUUUGAGUCAAUUGUGUGCCUAAAACCAAACGAACAAAUCUGACAGUUUUUGUUGCAUUUUUUUAUUGUGUUUGACUACAUAGCGUAAGCAAGUGCAAGUUCUUAAAAAAAAA